rnacentral:lncRNA from 1 species
UGACUGCUGGUGUUUUGUGCAACCCUGAAAACCUGAAACUCUCUUAUGCUUAUGCGUGCAAUGCAAACAUGCAACGCGCCAUUGUGCAGUGUGUUUUCAGCGCCAUCUUGCGGCUCCGAUCGGAGCAGCACAGUAAUUGUAUCUGAGUACACUUCCACUGGCCAUAGUUUCGUGGCACACCGAAACAGGCAAUCUACUAGUACUAGCUUUGCUGUUGUUUGCCUAGGCAUCAACAAAGGCCCACAAAUGUUCCCCCUGUCGCCAAUCAGAUGUCCACUCCGUCUAAGACAUGCCUGCCAAUAAUGUUAACAGGCG